GGAAAAUUUCACCACUUUGUCGUUAUUAAGCGCGCCAAAACAUCCCAAAAAAUUCAGAGCGAAAGCCAGUGCAAAAAAAUUAGGGAUUACAAUGGCUGACCUAGCUUCAAUGGCUGUUUUCAAAUCCCAAAUCAGUACUUUAACAAUGGUGAAAUUUAAACUUCCUCCAAAAUUCUGGCGAUUUUCUAAUUCAAAAAGGUACAUCAGUGUAGUAAUUUUCGCGGAAUUUCUCAAAUCAUUAACGGUCCCAUACAUCUCUAUUUGGUGCCACAGAUUGUAAAGGAACUGUUGCUGCAGAUGUGUUUCAGAUUUGGCUAUCAUAAGAUAUUCUGAUUUCUCAAAUUAAGG